rnacentral:rRNA from 1 species
AACGAACGCUGGCGGCAGGCUUAACACAUGCAAGUCGAGCGCCCCGCAAGGGGAGCGGCAGACGGGUGAGUAACGCGUGGGAAUCUACCCAUCUCUACGGAAUAACGCAUGGAAACGUGUGCUAAUACCGUAUACGUCCUUCGGGAGAAAGAUUUAUCGGAGAUGGAUGAGCCCGUGUUGGAUUAGCUAGUUGGUGGGGUAAAGGCCUACCAAGGCGACGAUCCAUAGCUGGUCGGAGAGGAUGAUCAGCCACACUGGGACUGAGACACGGCCCAGACUCCUACGGGAGGCAGCAGUGGGGAAUAUUGGACAAUGGGCGCAAGCCUGAUCCAGCCAUGCCGCGUGAGUGAUGAAGGCCCUAGGGUUGUAAAGCUCUUUCACCGGUGAAGAUAAUGACGGUAACCGGAGAAGAAGCCCCGGCUAACUUCGUGCCAGCAGCCGCAGUAAUAC